UCCAAGCUGAGCCCUACUGAGCAAAGCAACGCAUGUCGCAUCACACAGGCUGAGCGAGGCAGCCCUGGCAUGUGCGGUCAGAGCCCCGAGGGGUCACCCUACCUGAGAGCAUGGAAAUGGCUAACAAGUGUUGGCACCCCUACUUCGCAGGAGAACCGGGGCGUAUGCCUGGACGGAAAUGAGGCAAGCUUGUCCAAACAGGCCAGCAGCACAGCACUUUACAGACAGCUCUUUUUCCAAGCGUUCAUUGCUAUGAUUUCAUUUAAACAGUUGUGAACAGACAAAUUCCCAGAGUUUUAAACAGAACAUCAAAAUACCUUACAUAGAUUAUUUAAAAAACAAACCAGCGUUCCUUACAAUCUGAUGUCUCAGACUACUGCCAUGCCAUCAAAUUUUUCAAAGUUGGUCAUUCUCAGAUAACCUUUCAGUCAAGCCUCUUUUGUAGUUCAGUGAGCCACUUUUAUAUGGCUCAUUGAUGUCAACCUUUAGCUCCUGAUUGCUCGCUGGCAGGAGGAGCGCUGCCUCAACUCUUUCACCUGUACAGAUGCAGGGUAUCAGAGACUUCACUGGGACGUUAACUCCAUGACUCCUGGAUCCAGAGAUGGGUCUCUGCACUUGUCACAGUGCUGAUGAUUUGGGUGUGUAGUUAUGCAAGUGAAAUAACAUUUGACAGGGAAGACAGUGUGUGGAUUACAAAAAUUAUGAACUUGUAUCUCUUGGGGGUAUAUUUAUGCUUCUCCAUCUCUUGUUUAUCUGUUUUCCCAAGUUUUAUUUUUCAAGUGUUUAAGGGGAAAUCUGCCCAUGACUACCCAUUUAUGUCUGUAGAUGAGGUUCUUUGUGCAAAAGCAAAGUAUUUCAUUAGAUUGUGCAGUUUGGUUGUUGUGUCAGGAACUUGCUGUUGGUAAAUUUCCUUUUCAUUUCCCAACAUCUUAUUUCAAUAUUUCUGUUCAAGUUAAUGAUAGGUGCAGGAAAAGGCGCAUCCUGUCCCGAGCAAACAGCAUGCAUAACCAAUCUGACUCGUGGCAGUCAGUAUGAAGAAAUCUUUCCCCAUGCAAGGGGGUGACAACAGAGCACAACCAAAACUACAGUCUCAAUACCAAGUAGGCUCUGUAGCUGCUGCACUUGUAUUCCAAGGGGAGAACAGACCAUCACUCUGUUUUUUCACAGAUCCGUUGGUCCGGUCUCACCCCAAAAUUCCCCUGCAUGCUGGAGCACAGUAAGGCCUCACAGAGCACAUCCCUGUGGUGCAGAGGGAGGAUGGAACCCUUCCACUGGGCCCACAACCCUACACUCAUUCCCUGAACAGAAUCACAAGAGUUCACUUUCUAGUUGAUGGCUUUGGAAUUGGGUCCGGAUUUGCAGGGAUAAUGAGCAUCCACAACCCUCACCGAGAUCAGUGGGAGCUGCAGGCUGUCAGCAUCUCUGCAAUUUAGAGGCAAAUCAACUAAUUAUAAAUUCAUAGCAUUUAUACAGCACUUUUCAAUCUUGUAGUGAAAAAUAGCUAGUCAGGCUUAGUAAAGGGGAUUACUCAUUGCAUACAAAGCAAUUUAAAUUAUCGUGUGUAAUAAAGAGAAUUUGUUUGUACUAAAGUUCUUAUGCUGCAAUGUUCCCUGAAAGCUAGUUAAUGUUAAAUUGGCAGGGAUAGUGUCACUCCAUCAAUCAAGGACAGACUCAAUUUUAUAGUGGUUGAGAAACUCCUUCCUGCUGAGUAACACUACCUUUCCACUUUCUGAGAAGGAUAUUUGCCCAUCAGUGACUGGAAGUUAUUUAUAGCACAUGGGGUAUGUAUACCGAGUCAAACUGUGAUGAGUCUUUAAAAGUUUGCGG